rnacentral:misc_RNA from 1 species
GAUGAAGAACGCAGCGAAAUGCGAUACUUGGUGUGAAUUUCAGAAUCCCGUGAACCAUCGAGUCUUUGAACGCAAGUUGCGCCUCAAGCCAUUAGGUUGAGGGCACGUCUGCCUGGGCGUCACAAAUCGUUGCCUGAUGCCAGUUUCCUCGUGAUGGGUGACUGUGCAGGGCGAAUGAUGGCUUCCCGUGAGCAUUGUUGCCUCAUGGUUGGUUGAAAAUUGAGUCCUUGGUAGGGAUCGCCGUGAUAGAUGGUGGUUGAGUGACGAACGAGACCCAAUCAUGUGAGACCCCUACCGAAUUUGGCCUUCAUGACCCACAUGCGUCUUUGGAACGCUCAUGACGAGACCUCAGGUCAGGCGGGGCUACCCGCUGAGUUUAAGCAUAUCAAUAAGCGGAGGA